rnacentral:lncRNA from 1 species
UCAGAUGUGGGUCUCUAUGGGUCGGCCAUGAGUCAGAUGUGGGGCAGCCCCUCUGGAUGUGGGUCAGCUGUGGGUCUCAGUGGGUCCCUGUGGGUCUCAGUGGGUCUCAGAGGGUCUCUAUGGGUC